rnacentral:rRNA from 1 species
AGUGAACGCUGGCGGUAGGCCUAACACAUGCAAGUCGAACGGCAGCACAGUAAGAGCUUGCUCUUACGGGUGGCGAGUGGCGGACGGGUGAGGAAUACAUCGGAAUCUACUUUUUCGUGGGGGAUAACGUAGGGAAACUUACGCUAAUACCGCAUACGACCUACGGGUGAAAGCAGGGGAUCUUCGGACCUUGCGCGAUUGAAUGAGCCGAUGUCGGAUUAGCUAGUUGGCGGGGUAAAGGCCCACCAAGGCGACGAUCCGUAGCUGGUCUGAGAGGAUGAUCAGCCCCCCUGGAACUGAGGCACGGUCCAGACUCCUACGGGAGGCAGCAGUGGGGAAUAUUGGACAAUGGGCGCAAGCCUGAUCCAGCCAUACCGCGUGGGUGAAGAAGGCCUUCGGGUUUUAAAGCCCUUUUGUUGGGAAAGAAAAGCAGCAGGUUAAUACCCCGCUGUUCUGACGGUACCCAAAGAAUAAGCACCGGCUAACUUCGUG